CCAGUUGCCCAGGCCUCGGUCCUCCGGGGAUGGAGGGGACACUGUUGGGACCGCCUCUGCUAAAGAGGAGGAAGGAAUGGGCAACGGUAGGUCAGCAUGCCCCGAAUUAAUUGGGCUACACGCGGGCUACAAUGGGUGGGACAAUGGGUAUCGACACCGAAAGGUGAAGGCAAUCUCCUAAACCCAUCCGUAGUUCGGAUUGUGGGCUGCAACUCGCCCACAUGAAGCUGGAAUCUGUAGUAAUCGUGUUUCAAAAUAGCACGGUGAAUAUGUCCCUGCUCCUU
rnacentral:rRNA from 1 species